UACGUAGGAGACGAGCGUUGUCCGGAGUUACUGGGCGUAAAGCGUGCGCAGGCUGUUCUGUAAGUCAGAUGUGGAAUCCCCGAGCUCAACUUGGGAACUGCGUUUGAAACUACAGGACUAGAAUAUGUCAGAGGGGGGUAGAAUUCCACGUGUAGCAGUGAAAUGCGUAGAGAUGUGGAGGAAUACCAAUGGCGAAGGCAGCCCCCUGGGAUAAUAUUGACGCUCAUGCACGAA
rnacentral:rRNA from 1 species